GUCCGAGUGGCGGAAUUGGCAGACGCGCUAGCUUGAGGUGCUAGUGCCUGGAAACGGGCAUGGGGGUUCAAGUCCCCCCUCGGACA
rnacentral:tRNA from 1 species